UCAACGGCAGAGACGGGGGCGGGGCUUGUGGAAGCAGCUGCCGCAGGGUUGGCGGAUUUGGGAAGGAGUGAAGAUGGCGGAGUGAGGCGCACCGCCGGGAGCCGGCCUUUGGGCCGGGGGCGGAGAGGCCCCCGGACGGUCGAGUGCUUCUGCUGACUGGUGCGAGGAAGAACAUUUUCUUUGGCUUCCAGGUGCUUUUAUAUUCCUCUCGAGAAGAAAAUAAAAUUCUGAAGUCAGGAUUUGGCAAGUAUUCUGUGUUUCUCCUGGAGUAGGUAGUCCUUCUUCUUUUACCCAGCCACUUUCCCUAUUCUUGAAAUGUGGAUAUCUCUUCUCUACAUGUUUUACCUCCAUGAUUUGGAUUGGAAAAAGCUGCUUUUCUUUUGGUUCCACUUCUCAGAUUCAACAUAGAGAAGCUCCUAGGAUGCAGUCGUCUUGCUGAGCGCUCCAGGAAGAAAGAAGCAACUGACAUGCAUGUUCUGCUUUUGCUUAAUUAUAAAGAAAUUAUUUUGGAA